rnacentral:rRNA from 1 species
UACGUAGGGUGCGAGCGUUGUCCGGAAUUACUGGGCGUAAAGAGCCCGUAGGUGGUUUGUCGCGUUGUCCGUGAAAACUCACAACUCAAUUGUGGGCGUGCGGGCGAUACGGGCAGACUGGAGUACUGCAGGGGAGACUGGAAUUCCUGGUGUAGCGGUGGAAUGCGCAGAUAUCAGGAGGAACACCGGUGGCGAAGGCGGCAUCCUGGACCGGUAUUGACGCUGAGGCGCGAAAGCUAGGGGAGCAAACGGG